rnacentral:rRNA from 1 species
UACGUAGGGGGCAAGCGUUGUCCGGAAUUAUUGGGCGUAAAGGGCGCGCAGGCGGGAAUGUAAGUUGGGUGUAUAAACCUGAGGCUCAACCUUGGGAGGCAACCAAAACUGCAUGCCUUGAGUACAGAAGAGGGAAGUGGAAUUCCACAUGUAGCGGUGAAAUGCGUAGAGAUGUGGAGGAACACCAGUGGCGAAGGCGACUUCCUGGGCUGUAACUGACGCUGGAGGCGCGAAAGCGUGGGGAGCAAACAGG